rnacentral:rRNA from 1 species
ACGCACGCUGGCGGCGUGCUUAACACCUGCAAGUCGAACGCUGAAGCUUGGUGCUUGCACUGGGUGGAUGAGUGGCGAACGGGUGAGUAAUACGUGAGUAACCUGCCCUUGACUCUGGGAUAAGCCUGGGAAACUGGGUCUAAUACUGGAUACGACAUGUCACCGCAUGGUGGUGUGUGGAAAGGGUUUUACUGGUUUUGGAUGGGCUCACGGCCUAUCAGCUUGUUGGUGGGGUAAUGGCUCACCAAGGCGACGACGGGUAGCCGGCCUGAGAGGGUGACCGGCCACACUGGGACUGAGACACGGCCCAGACUCCUACGGGAGGCAGCAGUGGGGAAUAUUGCACAAUGGGCGGAAGCCUGAUGCAGCGACGCCGCGUGAGGGAUGACGGCCUUCGGGUUGUAAACCUCUUUCAGCACGGAAGAAGCGAAAGUGACGGUACGUGCAGAAGAAGCGCCGGCUAACUACGUG